UCCUGGUGGCUCAGAUGGUAAAGAGUCUGCCUGCAAUGCAGGAGACCCAGGUUUAAUCCCUGGGUUGGGAA
rnacentral:tRNA from 1 species